GAGUUUGAUCAUGGCUCAGGAUGAACGCUGGCGGCGUGCUUAACACAUGCAAGUCGAACGAUGAUCCCCAGCUUGCUGGGGGGAUUAGUGGCGAACGGGUGAGUAACACGUGAGUAACCUGCCCUUGACUCUGGGAUAAGCCUGGGAAACUGGGUCUAAUACCGGAUAUGACCUUCCAUCGCAUGGUGGUUGGUGGAAAGCUUUUGUGGUUUUGGAUGGACUCGCGGCCUAUCAGCUUGUUGGUGGGGUAAUGGCCUACCAAGGCGACGACGGGUAGCCGGCCUGAGAGGGUGACCGGCCACACUGGGACUGAGACACGGCCCAGACUCCUACGGGAGGCAGCAGUGGGGAAUAUUGCACAAUGGGCGCAAGCCUGAUGCAGCGACGCCGCGUGAGGGAUGACGGCC
rnacentral:rRNA from 1 species